UGAAAUUGAACUCGCUGUGAAGAUGCAGUGUACCCGCGGCAAGACGGAAAGACCCCGUGAACCUUUACUAUAGCUUGACACUGAACAUUGAGCCUUGAUGUGUAGGAUAGGUGGGAGGCUUUGAAGUGUGGACGCCAGUCUGCAUGGAGCCGACCUUGAAAUACCACCCUUUAAUGUUUGAUGUUCUAACGUGGACCCGUGAUCCGGGUUGCGGACAGUGUCUGGUGGGUAGUUUGACUGGGGCGGUCUCCUCCUAAAGAGUAACGGAGGAGCACGAAGGUUGGCUAAUCCUGGUCGGACAUCAGGAGGUUAGUGCAAUGGCAUAAGCCAGCUUGACUGCGAGCGUGACGGCGCGAGCAGGUGCGAAAGCAGGUCAUAGUGAUCCGGUGGUUCUGAAUGGAAGGGCCAUCGCUCAACGGAUAAAAGGUACUCCGGGGAUAACAGGCUGAUACCGCCCAAGAGUUCAUAUCGACGGCGGUGUUUGGCACCUCGAUGUCGGCUCAUCACAUCCUGGGGCUGAAGUAGGUCCCAAGGGUAUGGCUGUUCGCCAUUUAAAGUGGUACGCGAGCUGGGUUUAGAACGUCGUGAGACAGUUCGGUCCCUAUCUGCCGUGGGCGCUGGAGAACUGAGGGGGGCUGCUCCUAGUACGAGAGGACCGGAGUGGACGCAUCACUGGUGUUCGGGUUGUCAUGCCAAUGGCACUGCCCGGUAGCUAAAUGCGGAAGAGAUAAGUGCUGAAAGCAUCUAAGCACGAAACUUGCCCCGAGAUGA
rnacentral:rRNA from 1 species